GAAAGCUUUCAGUAGCCAGCAGACAAUAUGCACUGGAUUUAAGUAGUUAAAGGGAGAGUGACAAAGGGAAUAAAGAUGGUUUGUGAGGAAAAACAGCAGUAUUCUGAGCCACAUGCCAAAAUAACCUGAGCAGGCCAUGAUAGGAAGUAACUGCCUACACCACCUCCAUGCUCAAGAGUACUAAGGGCAAAAAUUUCUGUGAUGAGAUGUAACCUCUGAGGAGAGCAGCACUGGCAGCAGAAGAGUCCAAAGUCUUCGCUUUAUCCACAGAAGCACUGCUUCCUUCUCCCCUCCAUUUUUGGGGUACCAGGGAUGACAAGCUGAGUAGCAGUGCUGUGGUUCUCCGAGCUCACCGCCUGCCACGUGCCGUGGCAUUCGUGACAGCAUCAUUGCCCUGUGGAAAGGAGAGAGGAGAGAAGGUACUGAGU
rnacentral:lncRNA from 1 species